ACAAGCCAUGAGGAUGAGAGCUCACACUUUCUUUAGAGUUCAUAUUAUCAAUUAUACAAAUAUCCAAGAAGCGCCAAACACUAAAAGUAGUUUGUGUGUAUUCAGAGGAUUUACUGUGAAGGUGGAAAAGAAGAAUACUCACUCUUUACUGCUGUUUUUAUGAUGAGAGACAGUUUUAUCCUCAAGCUUGCAUCGCUUGCUCUCUGGCUUGGUGCCGCCUUCUUCUUCAGUCUGGAAGAUGAAAACAUCACAGGACAUUUAAGGCAAAGACACAUUAAAGACAAAUUUGCAUUCGCUGAUAUGUGUAAAGACCUCUAUAGUAACCGAUAUGAAGACAUUUAGCACACUGCAUCUCAGCACAUUAGAUGUUCAGGUCCUUGAUCUGAAUCGCUGCUGCUUCCCGUGUCGGAGCUGUCUGAAGAGGAGGACGAAGACGAGGAGGAGCUGUCGUCGUCGCUGUCACUGCUGCUGUCGCUGUCGUCUGAAGAGGAGCUGGAGUCGUCGCUGCUGUCUGACGACGAGUCACUGGAGGAGCUGUCAUCCUCGCUGCUACUGCCGCUGGAGUCUUUGGUCCUAAGAGGUGAAGUGCGAUGAACACGCAAACAGAAAUCAGAGCAGAGCUUGUUGUUGUGAGAUGCUGCACGGGCUGUUUUAGUGUGAUGGAGCCAAGGAGAAGCAUGGCAGUUAAAUUGAAAUUUGAGACACCAAUCUUUUGUGAAAAGAUUAUGAUAUGGCAUGAUUUUUAAAAAUGACUUCAUCUUAUUUCUGGGGCUGAAAAUUAACCUCAAAAAGUAUAGGAUGUUUUCAGUGUUUUCAGUUUCAUUUGAAUGCUCCCUUUGUGAGAGGCUCUAUUGAUUUAGCACUCAUGAACAUUGAGUAGGCAAAGCUUGGAAAAUCCAUUUUAUUUUCUCCUUGGCCUGAUUGUAUUUCAUCAAUUAUUAUCAUGGGGAGCUACAGUAACUGUAGCGGUUCACUUAACCCUUAAUGCUCACGUGGCACGGAUCAGUGCCGCAGGUGCACCCUUGGUAAAUUGCCAUGGGAAUAAUUACACAACUCCUUAUAUAGACAUCCUUCAGGCUUUAAAAAAUGUGUUAUUGAGACAAAGUUAGGAUUCAUUUUAUAUCACAUUUUUAGUAGUGAUAUACAGUAACAAUUAUUGUGCAGAAUUUACAAAAAUAGACCGUGCUUAUUUUUCUUUUUGUUCAUAAAAACGAGCCAAGUGAACUUUGAAUAUUGUGACAUAUUUCCAAAUUUCACUUCAAUUUUGAGUACUUAUUGCUUAUUGGUCUGUUUAUAUAGUUAAUAUUUAUAUAGGGGCGGGACCAGAUAAGCUUUUGCUUCUCCCGCUUUCCCUUUUGGUUAUGUGUAUUGUGUGAACUACACUACGAUGAUGUGUGAUGAGUGAUCUAACUAAUAUGACCGAAAUAAACAUAUAAAUAAAUAAAUAGUUGGUCAUCAGAUUGCUUAGGUUGUGCUAAAAAAAAAGGAUACAAGACACUAUAUUGCACAUUUUUAUAGCCUUUUCUAAGUGCUCUAGGGGUUAAAAACAUUCUGUUGUACAUGUUAUGUAGCACUGACUCACUGCCAUGUGAUGUGCAUUGAUUUUUUAUUUAUUGUCUCGAUUCUUGCUUAAGGAGAAGAACAUCGACAAAUCUCUGGUCAACAAUAAGAUAACUACUGCUUUUGCAGAUUUCAUUGAUCAUUUAGUGCCUCACAGCCUCCACUAGAGGGCGUGUUUUUGCACCAAGUCAAAUCCAGAUCGAAUGUGACAGUUUGCCAACGUCUCCAUAAAAUAAAACUGAAGAAACUUGUUGGAGGACUGGUGUAACUUCAUCUUCAAUAUCUUUUACAAAUUUGUGUGUAACAUGAUUCUUUGUGGAACAAGAGAAUAACUCUAGUCUUCAGGCAUCUGUUUAAUUUCCACCUUGCAUAAGCAUUGCUGCUUACUUUUUGCUUGCUUAUACCUAUAUAGUUUUAUUGACAUUAAUAUGAAGUGGAUUAGUAAUCCACUUACUACUUUAUGUAAAUGGUAUAUAAAGACACAUGACAUACAGUAUAUUGUGUGGUGGCAAAAUAUCAAAUUAUUCACUUACUUCUUUUUCAUUUUCUUCUCAGUGGUUCCUUCACUUCCUGGUCUGUAAAGAGAAAACAAAAACAAAAAACAUGAGUUUUACUGUGUGGAGGUUUUUAAUGUUUCAUUUCAUGUAAAUAACAUGCUGUACAAUGUAUGUGAGACACCAUCUUACCCAGUGAUGCUGAGGGGCUGGUUUUCAACCUCCUUGAGUUUCUUUUUCAUCUCGACUGUUCUCGUCGGUCUGUGCACGUAUUUCCGUUUCCCUGUGCAUUCGUAGGUCCAGUGUCCCAUCUCCAAACACUUCUGGCAGCGCACAUGUUGUUUAUUCGCCUCACUGCAUGUGAUAAAACACAAACAAGUCUGAAUGUGUUGCCUUCAUGAUGAUAACAAGUCAAUAAAACUGGAAAGAGAAGACAUAUUGCCA